UCGGCAAUCUCCGGACAGCUAAGGGGAGGAGUGAACGCAGAAUUGCAUAGGACACAAGUCUGCACCUCACACCGACAUUCACCACCUCACGGCUUCUACCUGGAUUCACGGCUUCUAUCAGGAUUAGAAUCUUUACAGCUUUUGCCUGGUCCCCUCGGCUGCAAGCAAUUCCCAUUUACAGGCCUGAAGCAGCUCGUGUCAGCUCGCAAGCACAAGGAGUGAGCGGUGAAGUGAUCCUGACCUCCUCUGCCAGCCAGAGCAGACAAUACAUACUGGGACUUCUGGUUGACCCACGGCAUACCUGCUAGGCCAGCGCCAUCCGUGCCAGCCGCGGACCUCUGAAGGAGGAGACUUGCAGCGCUAACAAGCUACUGGGGACCGUUACCAGUUAUUGCCGGAGACCUGACACCUCCGUGCCACACCGCCGAGCCGGCUCUAAGAACGAUCCCAGGAGUGGUUUUAACUGUUCGGUAUUUUAUCUAUUUGCGUAUUUGACAGCAGCAACCAGAGACAUUCCAGUGAAGCCUACUCUCUCUUUCUACAUGGAUCUCAUUACAUGAUACGUAUUGUAAUGUCUCUAGAAUAAUUUAUGAUAUUUAGUUUUUGAUUUGACAGUUGGCCAAUGGGAUACAUACCCCCUACAUGAUAUUAUAAUUGAUCAGCAUCCACUAUCUUGACACUGAGGUUUACACUAUGUAUAUUGUAUGGUGACAUUUGGAUGCAUUAUGGGUCAAUCACUUCAGCACUUUGCACUUUAUAUAUUUUUCAUCAUUAUAUUUUUACAUUAACUGUAAUAAAUUAUAUUGCCAAUUUAUAUGUCUUCAGCACACACUAUUUUAAUAAUUUUUUUUACAUUUUGAAAUUUUUCCACAUUUUUGGAUUGUCACAUUGGGGUCCUAAAUUUAGAACAGGGUAGGUCCCUGUCCCUAUUAGUCAUCCACCCUUAUGGUGGUCCUUAUCAUGGUCGUCACGCUAGAUUAAUUUUUCUACACAUUUUCAGUUAUUUAGGGGUCACACUACCCCCUUUUUGUUGAGAUUACAUAUCUCUUUUGGAUUUAUACACCCUUCCAACACAUAUGGUUGGGUUAUUGAGAGAUUACCACAAUACACUUCUGCAUGUGGGCACAUUUAUGCGUGUAUACACGCAUGCAUGCAUAAGUGAAUACACGCCCUUAUGAUUGGUUAUCCAAUUUAUCUCAUAUUUUGCACUAUUUUGACCCAAUAUUUUAUGGAUAUUGGAUAACUUUUUCAUAUAAUUUUUUUUUAGAUAUGAAGUAUGGUAAUUUUUUGUAUAUAUGUAAAUGUGUCAUUAACUAUUGUCAUGUGCAAUAUACACUGUUGCUAUAAUAUAUAUGGGUUCUAUGCUUAUAAACAUGUUAACAAAGACUUGCAGCAGUAGACCUAUAUGGAUCCUAGUUGGUGAAAGAGUUUAGGGCCUUUUCAUACAUUUUACCUGAUGUUGUAGCUGCCAGCGCCGAUUUCGUCUGGUGCGCAUGCGCCGGGCCCGAUUCCUGGCACUGUCUCUCCGGGCGUCAGGGGGCCAAAUGCGCAUGUCCGAAUACUAUGUGGC